ACGCGUGGGUAACCUGCCUCACACUGGGGGAUAACAGUCAGAAAUGACUGCUAAUACCGCAUAAGCGCACGGGAUUGCAUGAUCCAGUGUGAAAAACUCCGGUGGUGUGAGAUGGACCCGCGUUGGAUUAGCCAGUUGGCAGGGUAACGGCCUACCAAAGCGACGAUCCAUAGCCGGCCUGAGAGGGUGGACGGCCACAUUGGGACUGAGACACGGCCCAGACUCCUACGGGAGGCAGCAGUGGGGAAUAUUGCACAAUGGGGGAAACCCUGAUGCAGCGACGCCGCGUGAAGGAAGAAGUAUCUCGGUAUGUAAACUUCUAUCAGUAGGGAAGAUAAUGACGGUACCU
rnacentral:rRNA from 1 species